GGUGGAGCUUCGGUGUCGUCGCUCUUAUAAGUGGAACAAUUAAACAUAACAGUGAACACGUAUGUUAGUCUAACAUAAAACUUAAAACAGAUAUAGUUUCCUGUUUGCCUGUUUGACUCCCCUGUGCGCUAGGUCAGGGUCCAAUCUUCGUUGCGGGACCCUGGGGACAGGUGAUGCUGAACCGGUCUGGGUUAGCUUAUGAGGGGU